rnacentral:rRNA from 5 species
UGUGACCUCAAAUCAGGUAGGACUACCCGCUGAACUUAAGCAUAUCAAUAAGCGGAGGAAAAGAAACUAACAAGGAUUCCCCUAGUAACUGCGAGUGAAGCGGGAAAAGCUCAAAUUUAAAAUCUGGCGGUCUUAUGGCUGUCCGAGUUGUAAUCUAGAGAAGUGUUAUCCGCGCUGGACCGUGUACAAGUCUCCUGGAAUGGAGCAUCAUAGAGGGUGAGAAUCCCGUCUUUGACAUGGACUGCCAGGGCUUUGUGAUGCGCUCUCAAAGAGUCGAGUUGUUUGGGAAUGCAGCUCAAAAUGGGUGGUAAAUUCCAUCUAAAGCUAAAUAUUGGCGAGAGACCGAUAGCGAACAAGUACCGUGAGGGAAAGAUGAAAAGAACUUUGGAAAGAGAGUUAAACAGUACGUGAAAUUGCUGAAAGGGAAACGCUUGAAGUCAGUCGCGUCAUCCAGGGAUCAACCUUGCUUUUGCUUGGUGCACUUCCUGGUUUGAUGGGUCAGCAUCAAUUUUGACUAUUGGAAAAAGGCUGAGGGAAUGUGGCAUCUUCGGAUGUGUUAUAGCCCUUGGUCGCAUACAAUGGUUGGGAUUGAGGAACUCAG